rnacentral:tRNA from 1 species
GAGAGGUGGUCGAGUGGUUUAAGGCACCAGUCUUGAAAAUUGGCGUGCGUUCAUAGCGUACCGUGGGUUCGAAUCCCACCCUCUCC